rnacentral:ncRNA from 2 species
CAGUGGGAUGGAGGUUGCGAUUCUUAUGAGUCGGGUUACGGAUGUCGUCAAGCGGCAGAUGAAAUAGCUCAAAAGGAAGAAUUGCCGAAAUCGUAGACUACUUUGAAAGUCAGCGAUUGGGAUUAGAUCAAACAGGUCUAAUACUGUCAUAAACCGUUUGCGGUUUAUGGGGAGCUAUCUUUCAC